UACGUUCAUCACUCUUUUAGAGUGACGGAAGUAGAUGAAAGUCGAAGGAACGCAUG
rnacentral:ncRNA from 10 species